rnacentral:rRNA from 1 species
GGUUAAGCGACUAAGCGUACACGGUGGAUGCCCUGGCAGUCAGAGGCGAUGAAGGACGUGCUAAUCUGCGAUAAGCGCCGGUAAGGUGAUAUGAACCGUUAUAACCGGCGAUUUCCGAAUGGGGAAACCCAGUGUGACUCGUCACACUAUCAUUAACUGAAUCCAUAGGUUAAUGAGGCGAACCGGGGGAACUGAAACAUCUAAGUACCCCGAGGAAAAGAAAUCAACCGAGAUUCCCCCAGUAGCGGCGAGCGAACGGGGAGGAGCCCAGAGCCUGAAUCAGCAUGUGUGUUAGUGGAAGCGUCUGGAAAGGCGCGCGAUACAGGGUGACAGCCCCGUACACAAAAGCGCAUGUGCUGUGAGCUCGAUGAGUAGGGCGGGACACGUGGUAUCCUGUCUGAAUAUGGGGGGACCAUCCUCCAAGGCUAAAUACUCCUGACUGACCGAUAGUGAACCAGUACCGUGAGGGAAAGGCGAAAAGAACCCCGGCGAGGGGAGUGAAAAAGAACCUGAAACCGUGUACGUACAAGCAGUGGGAGCACCCUUUGGGGUGUGACUGCGUACCUUUUGUAUAAUGGGUCAGCGACUUAUAUUCUGUAGCAAGGUUAACCGAAUAGGGGAGC